rnacentral:rRNA from 1 species
UACGUAGGGUGCAAGCGUUGUCCGGAAUUAUUGGGCGUAAAGAGCUCGUAGGCGGUUUGUUGCGUCGGCUGUGAAAUCCCGAGGCUCAACCUCGGGUCUGCAGUCGAUACGAGCAAACUAGAGUGUUGCAGGGGGAGACUGGAAUUCCUGGUGUAGCGGUGAAAUGCGCAGAUAUCAGGAGGAACACCGGUGGCGAAGGCGGGUCUCUGGGCAGUAACUGACGCUGAGGAGCGAAAGCGUGGGGAGCGAACAGG